GAUGAACGCUGACAGCAUGCUUAUCACAUCAGCAAUUGAUUGGUGGCGGACGGGUGAGUAAGGCGUAAAGAACUUACAUCACAGUUAGGGACAACAUAUGGACACGAAUGCUAAUACCUAAUACUGUGAGAGAGCUUUGCGUACCAUUAGCUAGUUGGAGAGGUAACGGCUCACCAAGGCGAGGAUGGGUAGCCGGCCUGAGAGGGUGAUCGGGCACAGAGUGACAGGGGCACGGGCCUUAGUCCUACGGGAGGCAGGAGUGGGGAAUAUUUGACAAUGGGCCAAAGUCUGAUCCAGGAAUUCUGGUUGCACGAUGAAGUUUUCGGAAUGUAAAGUGCUUUCAGUUGGGAAGCGGUACCAACAGAAGAAGUGACGGCUAAAUACGUGCCAGCAGCCGCGGUAAUUC
rnacentral:rRNA from 1 species